rnacentral:rRNA from 1 species
UACGAAGGGUGCAAGCGUUACUCGGAAUUACUGGGCGUAAAGCGUGCGCAGGCGGUUCUGAAAGUCAGCUGUGAAAGCCCCGGGCUUAACCUGGGAAUUGCGGUUGAAACUACAGGGCUAGAAUCUGGCAGAGGGGGGUGGAAUUCCACGUGUAGCAGUGAAAUGCGUAGAGAUGUGGAGGAACACCGAUGGCGAAGGCAGCCCCCUGGGCUGAGAUUGACGCUCAGGCACGAAAGCGUGGGGAGCAAACAGG